GGGCUCGCAGGCGGUUUCUUAAGUCUGAUGUGAAAGCCCCCGGCUCAACCGGGGAGGGUCAUUGGAAACUGGGGAACUUGAGUGCAGAAGAGGAGAGUGGAAUUCCACGUGUAGCGGUGAAAUGCGUAGAGAUGUGGAGGAACACCAGUGGCGAAGGCGACUCUCUGGUCUGUAACUGACGCUGAGGAGCGAAAGCGUGGGGAGCGAACAGGAUUAGAUACCCUGGUAGUCCACGCCGUAAACGAUGAGUGCUAAGUGUUAGGGGGUUUCCGCCCCUUAGUGCUGCAGCUAACGCAUUAAGCACUCCGCCUGGGGAGUACGGUCGCAAGACUGAAACUCAAAGGAAUUGACGGGGGCCCGCACAAGCGGUGGAGCAUGUGGUUUAAUUCGAAGCAACGCGAAGAACCUUACCAGGUCUUGACAUCCUCUGACAAUCCUAGAGAUAGGACGUCCCCUUCGGGGGCAGAGUGACAGGUGGUGCAUGGUUGUCGUCAGCUCGUGUCGUGAGAUGUUGGGUUAAGUCCCGCAACGAGCGCAACCCUUGAUCUUAGUUGCCAGCAUUCAGUUGGGCACUCUAAGGUGACUGCCGGUGACAAACCGGAGGAAGGUGGGGAUGACGUCAAAUCAUCAUGCCCCUUAUGACCUGGGCUACACACGUGCUACAAUGGACAGAACAAAGGGCAGCGAAACCGCGAGGUUAAGCCAAUCCCACAAAUCUGUUCUCAGUUCGGAUCGCAGUCUGCAACUCGACUGCGUGAAGCUGGAAUCGCUAGUAAUCGCGGAUC
rnacentral:rRNA from 1 species